rnacentral:rRNA from 1 species
GAUGAACGCUGGCGGCGUGCCUAAUACAUGCAAGUCGAGCGAACAGACGAGGAGCUUGCUCCUCUGACGUUAGCGGCGGACGGGUGAGUAACACGUGGAUAACCUACCUAUAAGACUGGGAUAACUUCGGGAAACCGGAGCUAAUACCGUAUAAUAUAUUUAACCGCAUGGUUCAAUAGUGAAAGACGGUUUUGCUGUCACUUAUCGAUGGAUCCGCGCCGCAUUAGCUAGUUGGUAAGGUAACGGCUUACCAAGGCAACGAUGCGUAGCCGACCUGAGAGGGUGAUCGGCCACACUGGAACUGAGACACGGUCCAGACUCCUACGGGAGGCAGCAGUAGGGAAUCGGCCGCAAUGGGCGAAAGCCUGACGGAGCAACGCCGCGUGAGUGAUGAAGGUCUUCGGAUCGUAAAACUCUGUUAUUAGGGAAGAACAAAUGUGUAAGUAACUAUGCACGUCGUGACGGUACCUAAUCAGAAAGCCACGGCUAACUACGUG